UCAUGCUGAUUUGACUUCAUCUGCACUAAAUAAGCAAUGAAGAUUCCAUCUGGUACAAGGACAUAACCAUGCUAGCAAGUUCAGAAUCAGAAUAAUAUUAACCGUUAUGACAAUUAUUAGAAAUAACAGUCAUCAUAACAAUUAGAACAGAAAGCCUCCUAAACUAUUAUAUCGGCCAUUACAACAUUAUAAUAGCAACUAUUACCAAGGUUUAAAAUACCUGCACCAACACCUUACCCAUACAGCAAGAUAGCAUGACCACAAAUAGCAUGCCUCUUGACGCCAGCAUAACAGAAAAUGAGGAUACCAAACUUAUGUUGGUAUGGUACCAAUUGCAGGGCAUACUCAGUUUGGCUUGUAUGGACCUGUACUAUAAAUCUUUGUUUGAAACCUCACAAGUCACAACAUACUCAAACACUGACUUGGAAGAAUUUGUAGGCAAAGCCAUUUCUAACCAUUAGAAAGACGAUACGAGGAAGAAAAAAAUGAAAUCUAUAAAUGUACAUGUGUGUGUACAUAUCAGCAUACCUAUGUAUGUACUUAUAGGACAAUCCCCUUACAGAAAAUUGUACUAUCAAGAGGUGAUCAAAUAUCUGAAGCAAACUGUAUAGUAGGACAUAAUCAAGUUGAAAUGAUUGAAAAAUAUGUUUGGUGGAUAAGAUGUCGACAUUAUAAAGUCAGAAACACCCCUCAAAAAAUAAAGUAAAAAUCCCGCAAAAAUAAAGUUUAUAGUCUGAUCGGAGGGAGAAGGAAGAAAAUCCUUCCAUCUACUCAACCUGGACCUCUCACAAAAAAAAUAAUAAUAAUUAAAAAUUCAAAGUAGCGUUUUGGACCCAUUUUGCUUUCAUUAAUUGAAUACCAAAAUCCAUUGCAAUGCCUUUCAUUUACACUAGUGAGGUCCGAGUCCUGAAUCUAGGUCAUAUUCCUCUUCUAGUUAAAAGAUAUUAGAACUUUUGUAAAAUAGUAAAUAACUAGUAGAGAAAUCAGGUGGAUGCUAAAAUUAUCCUAGCGCUAGAUCUUGACUUUUCCAUCAACCUUGACUUCCAUUAUAAUGCCUAAUUUCUCUGCCAUUGAAAGAUGUGCUAGUCACAAUCUUAAUGGAAAAGGAAAGAUUAGGAUUUUCCUUGGACUGGCCUGUUUCGAGGCCCAAAACAAUGCCAUAUCCCACAUUAGUAGAAUGCAGCAAACCUCCUUGGAGGCUGUAUCACCCUCGUAGGUCUUAAAAUGAUACCAAUGUCAAAAUUAAGAAAAGCAUAAAAAUCAGACACCAUAUCACAAAGUUAUGGCCUCUGAAAAUUGGCUGCAUAAUCUAGUUAUAGAUGUGGUGAAUCUUGCACCUAGAACCCAUCAGACCUAUCUCAAGUGGCCAAAUUGGUCCAUGGCAGGUGGAGAUCCUCUGGGAUUAGUUUAACCCAUCUACCAACUUUAAACAUUUUCAACAAAAACUGAAACUUUAUCUUUAGAAUUUGAAUGAAUGAUUUCACAAACAGGGGAGUAAAAAGUGACUGAAUAGUAGAAUAAAAUCACCAAACAACCCACACUAAAGGCUAUGAGAAUACAUGAAAGAUAAAGAAAUAUCCUGUAUGUAGCAAAAGAUGAGUACGAAAUGAUCAGCAACAAGAUAAAUCAUGCUGAUUUGACUUCGUCUGCGCUAAAUAAGCAAUGAAGAUUCCAUCUGUUACAAGGACAUAACCAUGCUAGCAAGUUCAGAAUCAGAAUAAUAAUAACCGUUAUGACCAUUAUUAGAAAUAACAGUCAUCAUAACAAUUAGAACAGAAAGCCUCCUAAACUAUUAUGCCGGCCAUUACAACAUUAUAACAGCAGCUAUUACCAAGGUUUAAAAUACCUGCACCAGCACCUUACCAAUACAGUAAGAUAGCAAGACCACAAAUAGCAUGCCUCUUGAUGCCAGCAUAGCAGAAAAUGAGGAUACGAAACUUGUGUUGGUAUGGUACCAAUUGCAGGCCAUACUCAGUUGGCUUGUAUGGACCUGUACUAUAAAUCUUUGUUUGAAACCUCACAAGUCACAACAUACUCAAACACCGACUUGGAAGAAUUUGUAGGCAAAGCCAUUUCUAACCAUUAGAAAGACAAUACUAGGAAGGAAACAAUGAAAUCUAUUAAUGUACAUAUGUGUAUACAUAUCUGCAUACCUUUGUAUGUACUUUAUAGGACAAUUCCCUUAGGGAAAAUUGUACUAUCAAGAGGCAAUCAAAUAUCUGAAGUAAACUGUAAUGUAGGACGUAAUCAAGUUGAAAUCAUUGAAAAAUAUGUUUGGUGGAUAAGAUGUGGAGAUUAUAAAGUCAGAAACACCCCUCAAAAAAUAAAGUAAAAAUCCCUCAAAAAUAAAGUUUAUAGUCUGAUCGGAGAGAGAAGGAAAAAAAUCCUUCCAUCUACUAAACCCGGACCUCUCACAACAAAAAAUAAUAAAAAUUAAAAACUCAAAGUAGUGCUUUGGACCCUUUUUGCUUUCAUUAAUUGAAUACCAAAAUCCAUUGCAAUGCCUUUUAUUUACACUAGUGAGGUCCAAGUCCUGAAUCUAGGUCAUAUUCCUCUUCUAGUUAAAAGAUAUUAGAACUUUGUAAAAUAUUAAAUAACUAGUAGAGAAAUCAGGUGGAUACUAAAAUUAUCCUAGCACUAGAUCUUGACUAUUCCAUCAACCUUUACUUCCAUUAUAAUGCCUAAUUUCUCUGCCAUUGAAAGAUGUGCUAGUCACAGUCUUAAUGGAAAAGGAAAGACUAGUAUUUUACUUGGACUGGCCUGUUUCGAGGCCCAAAAUAAUGCCAUAUCCCCAGGUUAGUAGAAUGCAGCAAACCUCCUUGGAGGCUGUAUCACCCUCGUAGGCCUUAAAAUGAUACCGAUUUCAAAAUUAAGAAAAGCACAAAAAUCAGACACCGUAUCACGAAGUUAUGACCUCUGAAAAUUGGCUGCAUAAUCUAGUUAUAGAUGUGGUGAAUCUUGCACCUAGAACCCAUCAGACCUAUCUGAAGUGGCCAAAUCGGUCCAUGGCAGGUGGAAAUCCUCUUGGAUUAGUUUAACCAAUCAACCAACUUUAAACAUUUUCAACAAAAACUGAAACUUUAUCUUUAGAAUUAAAAUGAAUGAUUUCCCAAACAGGGGAGUAAAAAGUGACUGAAUAGUAGAAUCAAAUCACUGGACAGCCCACACUAAAGGCUAUGAGAAUACAACAAAGAUAACGAAAUAUCCUGUAUGUAGCAAAAGAUGAGUACGAAAUGAUCAGAAACAAGAU
rnacentral:lncRNA from 1 species